GAUGAACGCUGGCGGCAUGCCUAAGACAUGCAAGUCGAACGAGGUGGCCCAUUGAAGUCUGAGUGCUUGCACAAAGAUGGAUUUGGAUUUUCCGCCUAGUGGCAAACGGGUGAGUAACACGUGGGUUACCUACCUCUAAGUUGGGGAUAACAACUGGAAACGGUUGAUAAUACCGAAUGUGCUCUAUGGAGUAAAGAAGCCCUUAAAGCUUCGCUUAGAGAUGGGCCUGCGGCGUAUUAGUUAGUUGGUGGGGUAAUGGCCUACCAAGACAGCGAUGCGUAGCCGAACUGAGAGGUUAAUCGGCCACACUGGGACUGAGACACGGCCCAG
rnacentral:rRNA from 1 species